AUUCCACGGCCCCUGCCACUCCACAAACAUGGCAGGCAAGCUGUGAAAAAAAGGAGGAUAAAAAAGGCCUUGACUCAGGCUGCGGCAGUGUGGAGACCUGUCGCAACGCGGACUCUUCCAGCGCGGAGAGCCGUGAGUGCACAUCAAGCGGAGGCUGUGUGCACGGAGUCGGAAAACAUGGCA
ncrna:unclassified sequences malK-I RNA